AAACUGAAGAGUUUGAUCAUGGCUCAGAUUGAACGCUGGCGGCAGGCUUAACACAUGCAAGUCGAGCGGGGAAGGGUAGCUUGCUACCUAACCUAGCGGCGGACGGGUGAGUAAUGCUUAGGAAUCUGCCUAUUAGUGGGGGACAACAUUCCGAAAGGAAUGCUAAUACCGCAUACGUCCUACGG
rnacentral:ncRNA from 1 species